CAAAAGUCAGACCAGAAAUGCCACCUGAAAGCAUGCUAAAGGUGCUGUCUGUACAUGCCCCAGGAGGACUGGGU
rfam:St. Louis encephalitis virus strain CbaAr-4005, complete genome